CUUUAGCGUUCUUACAAUUGCACUCUUGUCUCUUACUCUCUGCUGCUGACCAGAUAGAGCUGUGUCUCAGGAUUUCACAACUCUCUCCCUGCCUCAGCACCCUCUGAAUGCCUGAUUUUCCUCUGACACUAUGGUAGAGCCCACCUAAGUCAAGAAGAGUCUUAAGAAUGGCGUAUUCUCUAGUCCUGAUAGCCUUGUCCAAUCAAGAAAUGGGCUUCAGUGUCAGGAAGAGGUCAUUCAUACAAAACCUUUCUCCAUCUGAAUCACCGAGAGCACUGUAAAAGUGGAGAAGUCACACAGCCAAAUAUCCAAAAUCAUAUAAGACUAUCCCUCAUUUGAAUUACAGCAAAGAAAUCAUCCAGGGCAGCAGGGAAGAAAAGACCUUGCUUGUCAGGCUGUGAUAUCAUAAAGUAAUGGAAGAACAGAAGUUGUGGUUUUAUUUAUUUUAAGAGCUUGUUAAGUCUUCAAGUGGAAACAAAUGCAGAAGUAAUAUGUGUUCUGUGUGCCAUUCUCACUUGUUGUCACAGGCACCCAGCUAAAGCAAUGUUCUCCUGCUAGAGAGGGCUGAAAGCAUCAUCUUGCUUAAAGCAUAUCUUGGUUCUAGGAGUCCUCGUUUGCUUCACCAUCCCAACUUCCAAUUAUUUGUGAUUUUUCCAGUAUAUAUCUCCACAAUGACUCAGAUGCUGUUCUUGAAAAUGGACAGGAAGAAUUUAAUGAAGAGUAUUUAAUACAGUGUCUGGAACACAGCUUCAAUUUAUUUAUUUUACAAAAACCAUGGUAUGAGUUGGAAGAACUGGUGAGAACUAUCCCAAACCAUCCUUGUUUCAGGAACAUACGGCUCAGGAAUUGUGAGACCAUCGAAUCUGAAGAGUCAA
rnacentral:lncRNA from 1 species